rnacentral:rRNA from 1 species
UACGAAGGGGGCGAGCGUUGUUCGGAUUUACUGGGCGUAAAGGGCUCGUAGGUGGCCAACUAAGUCAGACGUGAAAUCCCCAGGCUUAACCUGGGAACUGCGUCUGAUACUGGAUGGCUUGAAUUCGGGAGAGGGAUGCAGAAUUCCAGGUGUAGCGGUGAAAUGCGCAGAUAUCAGGAAGAACACCGGUGGCGAAAGCGCUCUGCUAGGCCGCAACUGACACUGAGGACGAAAGCUAGGGGAGCGAAUGGG